rnacentral:lncRNA from 1 species
UGCCUGGAUUACUCGUUGGUGUGGGUUAGUGACGACUGAUAAGUCAUGGUGAAUUAGGACUGUACUCUACCAUCGCGCUUAGGUCAGUUGUGUUAGAAUUCAAUCUAUCGGUCUUCACAUUGAGCUGGUGGUCGUUAUCUGCAUCCUUCUCUCCUAAGCAGCACGCGCACUCAGAUAGCAAGCAGAUAGCCCUAACUUGCCGAAACGGGCGAUCGAUCGGGUCAGCUCGUGCAGUAUCCUUGUCUAUCCGAGUUGAGGGUAGAAGAUGUAAACCCCACAGAAUUAGUUUUGUUGUCGUUAAACAAACAGCAUCAUGAAAAUGAAAAAUAGAAUAGUAGAUAAGACAGUGCGGGGAAGGUAUAACAAAUCCAAUGUCUCUUAAGAGCAGUCCGGACAACGGAGCAAGGCACCAAGGCAGCAACGUAAUUGUCCCGGAUCCCGGUUUUGGUCCUUUUAGCCCCUCACACGAUGUGAGUAUUUUUUUCCUUUUAUUAUUUGAAUGAUUGUAAAUAGAAUGAAAUAUAUAUUUGGAAUGAAGGUGUUUUUUUUUUUUUUUUUUUUUGAAAUGGUAAGAAUGUCAAAUGGGCGGAGUUCGCUGCUAAUAUAGCUGGCUAGAUCAGCCCUGCCAGUAUUAAGCUAGAAUGAACCCAAUACGAUUCCUUAAAAGACCCUAAGAACAACAUAUUGCAAGGAUUUGAACCCUUCACAAAGGGCGUAUCGACAUGAAGCUUAAUGGCCCUAGCCUAGUUAUACGCCUAGCGUAGAUCAAAUCCCUCAUCUCCAUCACAUAACUUAAUCUAAAGUAUAUCUCUAAGAGCCAAGCUACACGAUCUUAGAUCGAAUCGAAAAAGAAUCACACCUGACUAAAAACCCCAGAAUACGCCUCAGCCACCUCCUCCGGCAAUGGCCCAGCCU